rnacentral:rRNA from 1 species
UACGUAGGGGGCAAGCGUUGUCCGGAUUCAUUGGGCGUAAAGAGCGUGUAGGAGGCCAGGUAGGUCGGUUGUGAAAACUGGAGGCUCAACCUUCAGAGGUCGACCGAAACCAUCUGGCUAGAGUCCGGGAGAGGAGAGUGGAAUUCCUGGUGUAGCGGUGAAAUGCGCAGAUAUCAGGAAGAACACCCGUGGCGAAAGCGGCUCUCUGGAACGGUACUGACGCUGAGACGCGAAAGCGUGGGGAGCGAACAGG